rnacentral:tRNA from 1 species
AGUCUUAUAUUCAAAUUAUGAUAUAAAAUUGCAAAUUUUAAGUUAAUAAAAAAAAAUUAUUUAAGCUU